ACUAAGCUCAAGAGGAGGAUCUGGAUGCUUUCAGUUUCAACUAUUCACCAAUGGUGGGAAAGGCAGAAUGCCUAAGCUGUGUCCCGGUGGCCAAUAGGAUGGCUGUGUGUCUCCCACAUGACUCGCUGCCCCUGUCUUUCACAUGGGCUGUAAUUUGGUUCAAUUCAGAACUGCAGAUAGUACAGCUUUUACAGGAGCAAGGGAUGCCCGGGCACAAGUGGCUGAGUUCCGAGUGACUUUAGGAAGCGCUUUCCUGCCUCCCUCCUUCGGGAAAACGGGGGAUCCUGCACCUGUACCAGGGACAGUCUGGCAAAAGCCUGCUCUGCCUCCGGGGACAAGGAACGAGCACCAAUAACCAUUUUGAAAUUGGAUCUUGGCAAAAUUUGCAACGAGUCCAUAAAGGAAACUGAAAGCAGUUUGAUCUUCAUCUUCAAUGACAGUCCCACAAAAGUUAAAGAACUACAUUAUGUCUCCAAAGAAGAGUACAGUGGUGCCCUAAAAUUAGGACAUGAUUAAGUUCUGUAGUUUUAACCAGAACAAAAAGGAGUGCCCAGAAGAAAAGAAGGGGUUUGGGUAAUAUGCCAGUGAUGUACUUUUCAUUGUCAAGGAAUCCAUCUACACAAAAGAGGCGCGGGUGCACCAUCCAGCAGAAUGAAGCUGUCUGUAAGGAAGUUCCUCAGCUCUUCAUAAAAUAGAUUCCUGGGAAGGCAUAGUGAGAAUCAUCUGAAUUACAGCAAAGGCAACUACUUAGCGUCAAACUGGUCUGCAAACUCUGACUUCAGAGUGGUUCCAUAAAACACCAGUUAAGUAAUCCUUUACUCUUUAAUUUUUCCUGUUAACAACAGCUACAAUGACAAUAGAAAUAGUAAAUACCUCAAGAUUUCCCAGUAAGAACACUGAAUUAAGAAACUGGGAGAAUUGCUUCAGCCCAAUUCUAUCAUGAACUACUUCUCGGAUGCAAAUCAGACUGACUAUUCUUCCAGAAUCUUCCAUGCCAAAUGAUUUCCUCAUCUUUAAAUAAAAUUUCUGGAAUAGUAGAUAUCAAAAGUCCCUUGCAACUCUAAAUCUAUACAAUUGAACUGAAAAAAAAAGAAAAAUUUAGAAAAAUUAUUUAGCCAAACAAUCAUAUAUCUCAGAAACUUUGUUUUAGGUUUGCCUUUAUUGAUACUGGAAUUUUUUUAUUGUCAUCAAUUUUAAACCAUUUAUUUAUUUUCUUACUUGCUUACUUAUUUCUUUUGAAAGAGAGAGAAAGAGAAAGAGACAAUCCCAAGCAGUUCUUGGGGCUCUAUCCCAUGACCCUGAGAUCAUGACCUGAGCCAAAAUCAAGAGCUGGGUGCUUAACUGACUGAAUCACCCAGGCACCCCUUAUGCCAUUUAUUCAACAGAGACAUAGAGAGAGGAGAAAGUAUUUGCUGGUUUGCGUCAAUAAUCAGACUCAUCACUUUAAAAUGUAUAGAUAAGAUUCUUUUAAAGAGCAAACCUUCAAAGAAAAUCAAAUAGAAAAAUAUAUAUUAAAGCAGGGCAAGUAUAAGGAGGUAUAAAAACAAUGACAAUAAGAGCAAAGGGAACAAAGAUAAUCCCCAAGUUUCCAUUUUGGGUUUCAUUUCAUUUCCACACUUUGAGGAAGUCAGCAGCAGGUUAUAGUUUUUGCUGUUUUCUUCACACUUGUAAUUCCCAAUGUGGUUGAAAUCUCAUUCCAGGCUAAUUGAAAUAGGAAGGAUGAUUCAGACUCCUGAUUUCAAGCCUGGGCAUCAAACUUGAUUCACAAUGCUUUCAUUACUAACUAACUUAUAUUCUACCAAGAGCACCCCAAUAUCCAUUCCUGCAGAACCCCUAUCAGGCAUCCCUUCCUAUGGGAGAAGCAAACUUUCCAGGAAACGCACAAUCACAGCUUGGAGAAAUGCCUACAUAGUGUGCAAGCACUAACUCUCUCCUGGGACUAUGACUAAAUUCAAGUUGUACUAAAUGAUGUACUGGUAUUAUGUAUAGCAUAGCAAAGCAUGUUCACCUGAGCUCUGGGCAUAGCAUGUUUACUCGAUAAAUAUUACUUAGGGAAUUAGUAGUUAAAUUUUCAGUAGCUGCCAUGGCAUCUUUGUUAUGAGGAUUUGACUGUGUUUUCAAAAUGUUGGGCAAAUAGGAAAGGUUCUGUGGAUUUUUGAGGCUCUGGAGUACAAGGGGUACCUGAAAAGAUGCUGAAGGAGCAAUGCCCGUCCCAGUGGAAGGUAACUGUGGCUGCAUCGGCUGAAGAAGAGAACAGAAAUCACUUGGGCACCUCAGAUAAGAUCCUUUUAAUCAGGACACAGCAGAGGAAGAAUAAAUUAAUGAGAGAAGAUGAUUUUGCACAUAUUGUUGUAUUUUACAUCUUGGCUAUAAAAAUAGAGAUAAAUUAAUUUUAUCAAGUAUUUAGACUUUGUUAAAAUAAGAGCUAUAUCCCAAGUAUAAGUUGAUUAUGAACCCCUAUUUUUCAGCAAAACAAUCUUCAAGAUGUGUUUGAACCACCUUAAAUAUAAAAAAAAAUUAAGUGACUAAAAAGGAUCUAUUAAAAUAUGUAAUUUAUUUUUUAAAAUCACAUAUUCUAUGUUCUCAAGAAACACUUAUUAACAUUCUAAGAUAUAGAUUUUCUGUAGACAAAUUUGGGAAAUGUCUCUCUAGAGGCAUGUCUUCUGCCUGGGGUAGACUAUGGGUCUCCAGUGAACUGUUAAGUGCCCAUAAGACACACCGGCCCAGCACCUUCACAUGUCUUAUUAUUAAACCUCACAAUUUACAAAACAAAAAAGGAUCAUGGUAAAGCCUUGAAAAGAGACAAAGCCUGCAUGGUAAUUAUUUUCUACUAUCUUAAAACAUUUAAUAUUUUAAAUUAGGGUAGGAUUUCAAUACAGUAGACUGAGCACAGACCUUAAAUGGUGUUGGAACAACUAGAUUCACAUGCAAAACAAUGAAUCCAGACACAGACCUUACACCCUUCACAAAAAUUAACUUAAACUGCAUCACAGGCCUCAAUGUAAAAUGAAAAUUAUUAAACACCUAGAAGAUAACAAAGGAGAUAAUCUAGAUGAACUUGGGCUUGGUAAUGACAUUUUAGAUACAACACAGAGUCUUGAUCCAUGGAAGAAAGAAUUGAAAAGCUGGGCUUCAUGAAAAUCGAAAAUUUCAUGAAAAUUAAAAAUUUCUGCCCUUCAAAAUUCACUGUCAAGUAAAGAUAAGCCACAGACUGGGAGAAAAUAAUUGCAAAAAACAUAUCUGAUAAGAAUUGUUAUCCAAAAUAAACAAAGAACUUAAAAAUCAACUAUAAGAAAAAAGACAAACAUUAAACAAUAGGCCUCACAGAAGAGAUUUAUGGAUGACAGAUAAACACAUGAAAAGAUGCUCCACAGCAUGUCGUCAGGGAAAUGCAAAUUAAAACAAUAAUGAUAUAUCACUUCGUACCUAUCAGAGUGGCCAAACGCCAGAACACUGACAGCACCAAAUGUUGGCAAGGACAUGGAGCAACAGGAACUCUUAUUCAUUGCUGGUGGGUAUGAAACAUGGUACAGCUACUUUGGAAUACAGUUUGGCAGUUUCUUACAAAACUAAACAUAUUUUUCCCAUACAAUCCAGCAAUCAGUUUCCUUGGUAUCACCAAAGAAAUUAAAAAUUUAAUACCACACAAAAACCUGCACAUGGAUUAUAGCAGCUUUAAUUGCCAAAACUUGGAAGCAACCUCAAGGAAGUAAGUGAAUAAAUAAACUGUGGCAAAUCCAGACAAUGGAAUAUUAUUCAGCACUAAAAAUGAAUGAGCUAUCAAGCCAUGAAAAGACACAGAGGAGCCUAAAAUCCAUAUAAGUGAAAGAAGACAAUCUGGGUGAAUAGGUAGAGCAUGGAGGAUUUUCAGGGCAGUGAAAAUACUUUGCAUUAUAAUUAUGGAUACAUACCAUUACACAUUUGUCCAAAGCCAUAGAAUGUGUAACACCAAGAGUGAACUGUUUAAACCAUGGACUUUGGAUGAUAAUGAUGUAUCAAUGUAGGUUCAUCAAUUUAACAAAUGCUCUACUCUGGUGGGGGAUGUUGGUAAUGAGGCAGGCUAUGCAUGGGUAGGGGCAGGGAGUAUAUGGGAUAGCUCUGUAUCUUUGCUUUGAACCUAAAACUGAUCUAAAAAAAAAAAAAAAAAGUCUUAAAGAGCAUGAGAAUUAAUGUAGCACUCAAUUUCUUAUCAACACAGGAUACCAGAAAAGAAUGGAAACAAUACCGUCAUGACAUGAGAGGAAAAAUACAUUUUUCAAUCCUAAUUUCCAAACCCAGACAAACUGUUACCAUCCUUGAUGACUUGAAAGUAACAGUAAAAUCGCUUCUCGGCCUUUUGGCUAAGAUCAAGUGAAAGUAACAGUAAACCUGCCAGAAUGUGGGAAGCAUAAGAAAAGUUAGAGAAUAGCAGUUUGGAGGCAUUUAUAUCUUCAUCUGAAGAAGUAAGGGGUUACAAUAUACUGUCAAUAAUGAUGGAAAAAGAAACAGCAGUUUCAGUAUAUUUUUUAAAGCCACAAGAUUACCAACAGAGAAGCCAUAUACUAGGAGGUUGGAGAGGAAGGAGUUAAGGAGAAUCAUAGCAAGCCAUCAAUAAAUUAUGUUAAAGGUGGAUACAUUAAUAAGUAAUUGCAUAAAGAUACCAUUUAAAAAUAUAGGAAAGACAAAAAUUUUUAAAAAUGAUGAUUUCUGAGAAGUGAAACUUGGGGAAGUUAAUACUGUUGUAUAUAUGAACCCUUCUAUACAAUUUAACCUUUUUUAAACCCUGAUUUAUGUCAUUUUAUGAAAAAAAUAUUUCUAAAAAUAGAAAAUGAAAUUGCACUAGCUUAAUCUGUGUUUGACUAGUUCUGGGUGGAGCUAACGUGUCACAUGUGUUUUAAUGACUCGUGUUCGCGUGACGCUGUUCACGGUCACUAAAGGAGCUUUUCCACCACUGACGCCUUAUUACUCUCCAUCCUGAAACUUCACAAAAUUAUUUCUGAGUUCCUGAGUCCCUGAGACAUUUCACAGGAUUCCAAUAACAAUUACAUUCUCGUUCUCUCUGACCCCUGCUGUCAGUAUCAACGAUGAAGGUUCUGGUGUCCUUUCCAAUGGUGCAAUUGCCCAAGCCACUAAUGACUUGACUCUGACUUGACAAACUGGUGCUAAACAGAUACCAUAUGGUUCUCAGGAGUAACUGGGGUGGCUGCCCCUCUUUCCCACCCCCCCACACUCAUAACUCGAGGUUUCAAAGUUUUCCCCGUAAAAAGAAAAUUCUUUCAGCUUCUGGCUACAGUUUUUCUCCACAUAAAACUCAGGGAGGGAUGGAUCUAGGGGGUCUAGCACGGGACUCUCCUGGGCAGGUCCUGUUCUGGCUGCUCUGUAUCCUGCUUCCUACUUGUAGGACGGCAAGGGUGUGGCUGGCCUCAGUCAUUUGAAAGAUGCCAGAAUCUACCAGUUCCCUCAGUUUAGAUUCUCUUUCCAGAUUGGCUUUAUUUUUUCAGACACAAGUUCUCUACACAGUAGGUGUUAUGACGGCGUAGCUACCAAAACAGACCUCUCCCAGCUUUGCAAACAGAAUGACACUAAGAGUGACUCAUAAUGUACCCAAAUUCGAAAACCCUAGGAUAGGACUCUUGCUGAAUCAGGCAAUCUAGGCCAAUCAACCAUCACCAUCUGAGUGGCUAAGGAGGCAGUCACGUAAGUCCAUGACAGUUACAACAGAAAGCCUAUAAUCAACAGUGUGGGGAAGAUCAUUUUCCAGAAGGAUGGGAGGGAGGGGGCAGUGUUAGUUCUCUGCACACGAGACGAUACACUGAGGUACAGGAAAUAUCCCGGUUGCAAUCUCCUAUAGUGACCAAUUAGAGAAUACAAUUUGAAUGGUUUAUAAAUUGAGUGCUUUUAGGAUAUGACCUUCCUCACAGAUAGCAGAUAUGUGUGUUCAGAUGGUGUAAUUUGAGAUUGGCAAAAUCAGAACUAUAUUCAUUCUCAAUCUUAUCCUGGAGCCUAAAUUUUCCACAGCUAUUUUGUGUUUGGUUUAGGUAAAGGCUCUUUUCAAAUGUAAUAAAGGGUAAGUGCAAAGUAGGGGAAUUAUACAUUAUCCCAUUAUAAAUAUUAAUAACUUCCCUCAUAUUGGUUUCUCAGAUUAGCUAUAUAGUCAAGGAAAGGCUUGGAUGGAAUGAGUUAUAUAGCAAGAGUUUUAAUGCCUAUUUUUGUGAUGUGAUGCCUAGGGAAAAUAUCAAAGUAUGAAGUCCUAUAAAAAACAAAGCUAUUAUCCUUAGCAAGAAGUAACUCAGAAAACAUGAAGCAUGUGGUAGGGCUCAGGAGGAACAGGACUGUUCCCACAUGCACAUACUGGUUAAAUGUCAGUCUUUCGAAUUAGAAUAUCAGAUUUGAAUUCCAGUGAUGAGAGCUUGAGCAAGUUCCUUCACACUUUGCUUUGGUUUCCUCACUUCUAAGCUACAAGUGCUUUUAAAACUAACCUCAUGAGGCUGUGGUGAAUUUAAAUAAAGGAUAUAUAGAAAACACAGAGUGGUGCCUAGCAUAUAAUAAGACUUGAAAAGUAUUAGCUAUUACUAUUAGCAGGAGUCAGCUGCUCUGAAGCAGAAAUGGUGAAAGGAAAAGGGAGGCAAAGAAUUCGAGAGUCUGAGAGGCACCGACGGUGAUGUUUUCCUACAGCAUUCCAUUACUGUGGCAAGCCCUAGUGACUAUAGAAUUGGGCUGGGCACUCUGGUGCCCAGAGCUUCCCAUACAGGUUUUGAGAUGGACUUCUGAGGUUUCUGCCAUGCUGAGGGGGCGAUGCUUUAUUAGACAGUAUAAUGCAGAGGUCAUAGUUUCGCGUAAAUUGGAUACUUUCCUGAGUUUACUCAAUAGCUGCUUUUAACAAAAAUCUAAACAUGGAUGUUACUUAGCCAGUCAGUAAGAAUGUUGUAUGUAUCUUUCAAAAGAAAAAAAAAAAGUGUAGGGUUUCCCUACUUCUCCAUCAAGUUGAUAAGAAAGUAGACACACACACACACACACACACACACACCCUGGAUUUGGGAUCCUAAGAUUGAACUGAGUUUCAGCCCAACUAUUAAUAGCCAUGAUAUUGCAUGAGUCACAGAACCUUUCGGUCCUCAGUUGUUUUUUUUUUUUUCUAUUGGUAAAAUAACGAAUUGGAUUAGUAAAAAUUGUUUGUGAGGUUCGUUAGGAAAAGAAAAAAAAAACCUUGCCAGGCAGCCUGGUGUAUAAAACAGAUAUCAGUGAUGCUUUUUUGGUUAAAAUGGAAGAGAGGUCAUAGAGACCUGAAGAUUCAGAUCUCCUCAAGCCCUUUCUGUUUCUAGUCAAGUAUUUCAACUAGAUUACCCACUUCUCUGAAGUCGAGUCCAGUUAGUGUACCACAGCAGUUUUUUACCAUAUCUUUCACCUUUUCUGUUUUCUACUAUAUAUUUUGUCUCCUCUCCACUUUAAGGGUUCUUAAAAUAUAUUUUUAAAUGUGUCUUAGUUGAUUUUAAAUAGAAUAAUCGGUAAGCCAUGAUAAGAAACCAUUUUAAAGUAUGAUAAAAGUACACAAAGAGUUCAUAUUAAGUAAUCAUCAAUGGGUCACUCUCAAUAAUCAGUGAAUUGCCCUCAGUUUUCUGGCCUCAAUUUGGUUUGAGUUUCUUGUUGAAGACAAGAAAACACUUCUCUCUUGUAACUCAUGUUUGUAUCUUUUUUAAAUGCGUAUAACAAAUAUAGCUUAUACUCUAGGAUUCUAGUGCUUGGAGAAAACUACCUGGAUUUGAAGUCAAACAGCUGGUUUUUAAAUCCAAUUUCUACUACCUACUAGUUUUACAAAAUUUAAUAUAAUUGUGAAACUUUUUGAGCCACAUGUAGCUAGUGUUCUUCAUUGCAUUCAGGUUACUUUGAGAACACCAUACUUCCCUGCUCAUCUUCAUGGUUUAACCUCCUAUCUCCUUCCAGCCUUCUUUGAUGAUUCCUCUGCUUUCUCACCUCUUGUCCUUUUAGGCCCCUAGGGCCCAGAUCUUGGUCAUAUGCUUUAUUUGUGGGAUUCACUUGACGAUCUCAACUAGACUGAAGACUUUGAACAGUAUCUAUAUCCCAGUGGCUCCCAGAAUUCAUCUCUAGCCCAGCCCUGUUCCUCAUUCCAGACGUGUAUAUCCAACUGCAUCCGUGGAAUUUCCAAUGUAAUUUUCAGUACUUUUAACAUGUCCAAAACCAAAGUCCUUGAUUUUUACCUCUAAAUCUCUUCCUUGUACAAGUUUUCCCAUCUCAAUUCAAACAACUAUGUCAUGAUAAUGGUUUAGGUCAAAACUUUAGAGUCAACCUUGAUGCCACUUUUCACCCUUAAAAUCAAGUCAGGCAUGAAAUUCUAUCGGCGAUUCCUUACAAAGGUUACCAUGCUGGUCAGGGCCACCCUCAUUUCUGCAUGAAUCGUUAUGAUAGCUUCUAAUCUCAUCUCUCUGGCUCCCUGUUUCCUUUGGCUACCUAGCUAUAGUCUUCUCUUUAUAAGGUAAAGAGAGGAAUCUUUUUGAAAUGUAAAUCUGAUUAUAUCACUCCUCUCCUUAAAAGUCAGCAACUGUGCCCCAUUUUACUCAGAAAAAAAGUCCCUGUAAUGACCGACAAGACCCUACAUGGCACGCUGACUUCAUCUCCCAUUGUUCUUCACCUUGUUUACUUCCCUCCAGCCAUACUGGGCAUCGUGCUAUUAUGCUUACAGGACAGUUACACUUUUGACUUAAGAUCUCUUGUGAGCUAUGCCCAGUGCCUGUAGAAACUUCCCACAGAUAAUCUUAUAGCUGACUUCUUUAUCUUUUUCAAGGCUUUGACCAAAUAUCACCUUCUCAAUGAGCCUAUUCUGAUCAUGCUAUUUUAUUAGGCAAACUAUUCUCUACCUUCCAAAUCCCCUUUACUUAUAUUUUUCUUUGUUCCAUACAUUUGGCCCUUCUUAAUAUAUUACAUAAGUUAUAUGUAUAUUACAUAUGCUUAUUUAAUAUUUUCUCUCUUCCACCACUAGAAUGUAAGCUCCUUGAGUGCAAAGAUAUUUACUUUCUUCACUGAUACACACUAACUUGAGUAGUGUUUGGUGCAUAGCAGGAAAUAAAUAAAAUCUUGGUUGACUGAACAAAUGAAUAAAUAAAUACAUACAUACAUACAUAUUUUGCUGUGAUUUUGUGAGGCUUAAAUAAAAUAAUGUAUCUCACAGCACCUAUCACAGUCCCUGGUACAGAGAAAACACUAAUACAUAUUUUUGUUCUUAAUCAAUUUGUUCAGAAUAAAUUCUGGGGUCAUUGCAACAUUGAAACUACUAUUUUCAUCGUGUAGAAUAAGUUCCCUAUAUGAAGAUUUAUAUGAAUCCUGAAAAUGAUUGUGUUUUAAUGAAGAAAUUUAAUUUGAGGGAUUUUUGUUUAUAAAAUCUCAUGCUUAUUUACACAGUGAUAAAAUUUUUGUUGUAAAAAUAUUUUUCAUGAGCAUUUUCUCAAAGCAAUAGUGAUUGUACUAUAAUUUUUCUGCCUGGGAUUGAAUAGCACAUCCUUUUAGUUAUCUUGCAGGCUGUCUUUAUCUGAACUUAUUUAAAAGACAAUGUCUCUAAAAAAAAUCACCACACUUUAUUUUGAAGAUUUUGAAGAAGUAACUGUCACAUUUCUUACAUGUAUUUCAUUUAGAGACUAACAAAGGAAAGAAUUUCACAUUUUGCUGAUUUGAAAAAAGAAAAGAUUUUCUUAAUGUCAAGCCAACUAUUCAAUCCCUCAAUGUUUAUGACAGGUGAGGCUUGUCAGAUCAUACUUCUGGAGUUUGCAGGCCUUUGGUUUCCCACUUGGGAUAAAGGGGAUAAAGAACAAUUUGAAAAUUCCUCUGUGUAGGUGAUCCCAGAAUGGGGAUAGUCUGUGUCAUUUGCAGCAUCUCGGGCAUGUUUGUAAGUGCUUGACAGGGUGCUAGGUGCCCCUCUCCCAGAAGCUGGCUUACAAGAGGGACUGGGGAAACCUCAUGGGUAGAAAAAUAUGGUAAAGGAAAGGCCACUCUACCAGAGCCUCUGCUGUGAUGAAAGAAUCUAAUUUUAUGUCUGUCAGUUUCUUUCUCUUCCCUGGCCUAUGCAAGACUUUUCAGAAGGAAUCCAGUUCCAAUGUUUAUUUUAGGUAUUAACAUAAUAUGGCUAGGGCAGAUAAAAGAUGUAAAUCUUUGCUGUUGCAAUAAAAAGACACACACACAAAGCAACUCACUAUGGGUUUUCUAUUGUUAUUGAUAUUUAGAGUUGAUAGCACAGAUGAAAUCAACAUGUGGAAAACAAGAUUCUGAUCUACAACACCUUAUAAAAAUAAAAAGACUAUUUAUCAUCCAUUUAAAGGGUAGUGUGUUAACAGGCUCCAGUGUGAGUCCCGCCUGAGCAUGGGGUAGAAGGUUUACAGCGGUGUCGCUUCCAGCUACCAGCAGGUGCUGGUCUGGAUGUCAGUCUAAAGACCCGAUUCAUUAAGUUCUGCCACUCCAGGACUGUACUCUUUAUGAUAAGAAAAACAAGAAGGAACAGUGAGUCUCUUAUAUUUAACCCAUAAAACUUAACACUCUGACCUCAACCAGAAGUGAAAGAGGCAAUUGCAAAUCUGACCAAUAAAACUGGUAAAGCACUUACAUGCUGGGAUUAAAAGACUGUAUGUCUAGGUACAUGAGGAAAAGAACAAUUUGCAAAUUCCUCUGUGUAGGUGAUCCCAGAACCAGCAUAGUCUGUGGUCUUAGCAGCAUUUCAGGCAUGUUUGUGAAUUCUUGGUUGGCUGCCAUGUGGCACCCCCAGGAGCUGGUUUACAUGAGGGACUGGGGAAACCUCUUGUGUAGAAAGACAUGUUAAGGAAGAGGUCCCACCAAAGGGCCCCACCAAGCCUCUGUUGUGAGGAGAAGUAGGAUAUCAUGUCUGUCAGUUUUCUUCUCCAUGUCAGGAGACCCAUAUAUGGAUCUAAAAGACCCACAUGUUUUCUAGAAAGAAAGAGGCCUCCAAGUAGAAAUGAGAGAACUAUUUUAUCGUGAAGUGCAAACACAGGUCAUAAGGCAGUGCUACAGGGGACAUGAUAGAGGACCAGGGUAUAGAGAGGGAUUUUCCAGGUCUCUGGCAAACAUGAGGCUUUGGUGCACGAGGUCAGCUUGCACUGCUCCACUUAGACACUGGUGGGACUGAUCGUGAGUUUCUUUACAUGGAAGAAAACAAACAAAUCAAAAAAUCUACUAUUUCUAGUGUUUUGCUGUAUACAGGGCUAGAAUAAAGUUUUUGAAAAAAAAAAAAACCCUUUCUAUAUUCUACUGGAGGUGAGGUAGCGGGGAAGGAGACCAUUAUUGAGAAUGAGGACUUGGCUGGUGGGUCUUUUGCUGAAGAAAGCUCCAGAAUGUGUGCCUGGGUAAAUCUGGAUAAUUUGGGUAGGUGACAAACUGUAACCUUGACUUCUAAAGAAGUCAUAGAUAGUUAGAGCAUGGAAGAAGGAAGAAAAGGUCUUUAUGAAGAAGAACUGACCCUGAGAAAAUGGUCAUGAACCAAGUACUAGGAUUUGACCAGGAAGAAAGUUUAGUACUGUCUCAUAUUUAUUUAAACUA